UUCUUCCUCAGGAACCUCCACC
rnacentral:miRNA from 1 species